UACGAAGGGGGCUAGCGUUGCUCGGAAUCACUGGGCGUAAAGCGUGCGUAGGUGGUUGUUUAAGUCUGCUGUGAAAGCCCUGGGCUCAACCUGGGAAUUGCAGUGGAUACUGGGCGACUAGAGUGUGGUAGAGGAUAGUGGAAUUUCCGGUGUAGCAGUGAAAUGCGUAGAGAUCGGAAGGAACAUCUGUGGCGAAAGGCGACUAUCUGGGCCAACACUGACACUGAGGCACGAAAAGCGUGGGGAGCAAACAGGG
rnacentral:rRNA from 1 species